UCAACCGUCAAGCCUGGCUUGCUAUUGGACCUGCUGUCCGGCUGAAGGACAGGUCCCAAAGACAAUGACCGUGUCGAGUGUGACCCUAGAUGCAAUGAGCUUUGUUAAGCACGCACGUAAGGGACCGCCCGGCCCGGCCUCGACCAUUUUUCUCAGG
rnacentral:misc_RNA from 1 species